AAACCAGCACCUCAAGUGGUCAGGAUGAUUAUUGGGCCUAAAGCAUCCGUAGCCGGCUCUGUAAGUUUGCGGUUAAAUCUGUACGCUCAACGUACAGGCUGCCGGGAAUACUGCAGAGCUAGGGAGUGGGAGAGGUAGACGGUACUUGGUAGGAAGGGGUAAAAUCCUUUGAUCUACUGAUGACCACCUGUGGCGAAGGCGGUCUACCAGAACACGUCCGACGGUGAGGGAUGAAAGCUGGGGGAGCAAACCGGAUUAGAAACCCGUGUAGUCC
rnacentral:rRNA from 1 species